AUAGCGCUGCUAGGUGUAAUGUCGCUCUCUCGCUCAAAAAGUUAAUAACGCAACUCUCUUUCUCUUGUAAGACCCUGUUUAUUUUCUAAAGAAUUAAAAUAUUUUUCUUAGUCAUUAAGAUGAAAUUUAUCGGUCUGACCGAAAAGAGGUCCAGGAUAUUUACAAAACUAAAGCUAGCUCAGCGGUACCGUAAGUAACCAAAUACGGUUUACACUUAGCGUUUCCCCUCGGGAAUUAUUUUUAUGGGUUUCGAUAAAAGAGUGAGAUAAAUAUUUGGUUUAUAAAAUUCAUUUGAGUUUUGCUCACUAAAGAGUGAAGUUAUUUAAUAAAAACAAUAAAGGGUGUUGCGACGUGAAAUAAGCUGUGUUGGUUUGGUGUAGUGUUUUACUACAAGAAAGGGUCUACACGUCACCAUCUCUACUUUGGAGUCGCCCAAGCGCCCAGUUGUUUUACAAGGUGUUUAUUCUAUUUUUAUGAUUUAUUUUGAUUAUUUUGGACUAUUUUGAAUUUAUUUAACGUAAUAAAAAUUAUAAAAUUAUUUAAAUGA
rnacentral:lncRNA from 1 species